rnacentral:rRNA from 1 species
CGACGAACGCUGGCGGCGUGCCUAAUACAUGCAAGUCGAACGAACUCUGGUAUUGAUUGGUGCUUGCAUCAUGAUUUACAUUUGAGUGAGUGGCGAACUGGUGAGUAACACGUGGGAAACCUGCCCAGAAGCGGGGGAUAACACCUGGAAACAGAUGCUAAUACCGCAUAACAACUUGGACCGCAUGGUCCGAGUUUGAAAGAUGGCUUCGGCUAUCACUUUUGGAUGGUCCCGCGGCGUAUUAGCUAGAUGGUGGGGUAACGGCUCACCAUGGCAAUGAUACGUAGCCGACCUGAGAGGGUAAUCGGCCACAUUGGGACUGAGACACGGCCCAAACUCCUACGGGAGGCAGCAGUAGGGAAUCUUCCACAAUGGACGAAAGUCUGAUGGAGCAACGCCGCGUGAGUGAAGAAGGGUUUCGGCUCGUAAAACUCUGUUGUUAAAGAAGAACAUAUCUGAGAGUAACUGUUCAGGUAUUGACGGUAUUUAACCAGAAAGCCACGGCUAACUACGUGCCAGCAGCCGCGGUAAUACGUAGGUGGCAAGCGUUGUCCGGAUUUAUUGGGCGUAAAGCGAGCGCAGGCGGUUUUUUAAGUCUGAUGUGAAAGCCUUCGGCUCAACCGAAGAAGUGCAUCGGAAACUGGGAAACUUGAGUGCAGAAGAGGACAGUGGAACUCCAUGUGUAGCGGUGAAAUGCGUAGAUAUAUGGAAGAACACCAGUGGCGAAGGCGGCUGUCUGGUCUGUAACUGACGCUGAGGCUCGAAAGUAUGGGUAGCAAACAGGAUUAGAUACCCUGGUAGUCCAUACCGUAAACGAUGAAUGCUAAGUGUUGGAGGGUUUCCGCCCUUCAGUGCUGCAGCUAACGCAUUAAGCAUUCCGCCUGGGGAGUACGGCCGCAAGGCUGAAACUCAAAGGAAUUGACGGGGGCCCGCACAAGCGGUGGAGCAUGUGGUUUAAUUCGAAGCUACGCGAAGAGCCUUACCAGGUCUUGACAUACUAUGCAAAUCUAAGAGAUUAGACGUUCCCUUCGGGGACAUGGAUACAGGUGGUGCAUGGUUGUCGUCAGCUCGUGUCGUGAGAUGUUGGGUUAAGUCCCGCAACGAGCGCAACCCUUAUUAUCAGUUGCCAGCAUUAAGUUGGGCACUCUGGGGAGACUGCCGGUGACAAACCGGAGGAAGGUGGGGAUGACGUCAAAUCAUCAUGCCCCUUAUGACCUGGGCUACACACGUGCUACAAUGGAUGGUACAACGAGUUGCGAACUCGCGAGAGUAAGCUAAUCUCUUAAAGCCAUUCUCAGUUCGGAUUGUAGGCUGCAACUCGCCUACAUGAAGUCGGAAUCGCUAGUAAUCGCGGAUCAGCAUGCCGCGGUGAAUACGUUCCCGGGCCUUGUACACACCGCCCGUCACACCAUGAGAGUUUGUAACACCCAAAGUCGGUGGGGUAACCUUUUAGGAACCAGCCGCCUAAGGUGGGACAGAUGAUUAGGGUG